rnacentral:rRNA from 1 species
AGCAGCCGCGGUAAUUCCAGCUCCAAUAGCGUAUAUUAAAGUUGUUGCAGUUAAAAAGCUCGUAGUUGAAUUUCGGGAUCAAUUUGCUGGUCGUGCCUUCGGUACGCACUGGUAUUAUUGGUUUCUCCUUUCUGAUGAAUCGCGAUGUCAUUAAUUUGGUGUCGUGGGGAAUCAGGACUGUUACUUUGAAAAAAUUAGAGUGUUUAAAGCAGGCUCACGCUUGAAUACAUUAGCAUGGAAUAAUGAAAUAGGACGUUUGAUUCUAUUUUGUUGGUUUCUAGGAUCGACGUAAUGAUUAAUAGGGAUAGUUGGGGGCAUUAGUAUUCAAUUGUCAGAGGUGAAAUUCUUGGAUUUAUUGAAGACUAACUACUGCGAAAGCAUUUGCCAAGGAUGUUUUCAUUAAUCAAGAACGAAAGUUAGGGGAUCGAAGACGAUCAGAUACCGUCGUAGUCUUAACCAUAAACUAUGCCGACUAGGGAUCGGAUGAUGUUAAUUUUUAAUGUA